AGAGAGACGGCCAUCUGUUCGCCGCCUUUUCAUACUUUGACAAAGAUGGGAGUGGUUAUAUAACGGCCGACGAGCUCCAGCAAGCUUGUGAGGAGUUUGGCGUGGAAGAUUUCCGCAUAGAAGAAAUGAUACGUGACGUCGAUCAGGACAGCGACGGGCGGAUUGAUUACAACGAGUUUGUGGCGAUGAUGCAGAAAGGUACGAUCACCGGAGGAGGGCCGCCGGGGAAGAAGGGUCUAGAAACUAGCUUUAGCAUUGCUCUGAAACACUAGUUUCUGUUUUUUUUAUAUAAGAAAAAGGCAGAGGAGAUCAUAAUCAUAUAAUUGCAUAGCCAUUUCUCUGUUUUUUUUGUACCUCUAAAAAAAAGUUUCAAUCUUUGGAUGA